rnacentral:rRNA from 1 species
CGAGAAAGCCCGCAAGGGUGAGUAAAGCGGCGCACGGGUGCGUAACACGUGGGUAAUCUGCCCUAGAGUCUGGAAUAACUCGCCGAAAGGCGUGCUAAUGCCGGAUGAGACCACGGGAGCUUCGGCUCCUGCGGGAAAAGGUGGCCUCUGUACACAAGCUAUCGCUCUAGGAUGAGCCCGCGGCCCAUCAGCUCGUUGGCGGGGUAAUGGCCCACCAAGGCUACGACGGGUAGCUGGUCUGAGAGGACGAUCAGCCACACUGGAACUGAGACACGGUCCAGACUCCUACGGGAGGCAGCAGUGGGGAAUCUUGCGCAAUGGGCGAAAGCCUGACGCAGCAACGCCGCGUGUGUGAUGAAGGUCUUCGGAUCGUAAAGCACUGUCGCGAGGGACG